CUCCAGGGAGACUGCCGGUGAUAAACCGGAGGAAGGUGGGGACGACGUCAAGUCAUCAUGGCCCUUACGAGUAGGGCUACACACGUGCUACAAUGGCGCAUACAGAGGGCGGCCAACUUGCGAAAGUGAGCGAAUCCCAAAAAGUGCGUCGUAGUCCGGAUUGGAGUCUGCAACUCGACUCCAUGAAGUCGGAAUCGCUAGUAAUCGUGGAUCAGAAUGCCACGGUGAAUACGUUCCCGGGCCUUGUACACACCGCCCGUCACACCAUGGG
rnacentral:rRNA from 1 species